rfam:Myotis davidii contig191571, whole genome shotgun sequence.
CUUGGGGGGGGGACGGGGUCCCUCAGCCUGGAUUGUGAGAGGGCACAAGCCAGGUCGAAGGACCCCACCAGUGCAUG